rnacentral:misc_RNA from 1 species
AACUGGGUUUCAAUUUUGGUUGAUUCUUUCACGCUUUUUGUUCUAUUACGUCGUCGAGUACCCGAAGCCCUACAAUUUAAGAUUGGGAAGAGACGAAGGCUUACAGGCUUGCUCUUUUGGAGAAGACAGACGCAGGCGUGUAACUAUAGCACAUGCCAACUGAUGUGAUGGCGUGAAAUUUUCAACUCAUGCCCACCAGUCCACUGAGUAUUAUUGUUAAAGUCUUAACACAUGCCAAUUGAUGUGAUGGCGUAAGAUUUAGAGCUCGU